CGGCGUACGGUAGCGAAACACGUGUGCAACCUGCCUUUAUCUGGGGGAUAGCCUUUCGAAAGGAAGAUUAAUACCCCAUAAUAUGUUGGAUGGCAUCAUUCGACAUUGAAAACUCCGGUGGAUAGAGAUGGGGCACGCGCAAGAAUUAGAUAGUUGGUGAGUAACGGCUCACCAAGUCUACGAUCUUUAGGGGGGCCUGAGAAGGGUGAUCCCCCACACUGGUACUGAGACACGGACCAACUCCUACGGGAGGCAGCAGUGAGGAAUAUUGGACAAUGGGUGAGAGCCUGGUCCAGCCAUCCCGCGUGAAGGACGACUGCCCUAUGGGUUGUAAACUUCUUUUGUAUAGGGAUAAACCUACCCUCGUGAGGGUAGCUGAAGGUACUAUACGAAUAAGCACCGGCUAACUCCGUGCCAGCAGCCGCGGUAAUACGGGGGGUGCAAGCGUUAUCCGGAUUUAUUGGGUUUAAAGGGUCCGUAGCGGAUCUGUAAGUCAGUGGUGAAAUCUCACAGCUUAACUGUGAAACUGCCAUUGAUACUGCAGGUCUUGAGUGUUGUUGAAGUAGCUGGAAUAAGUAGUGUAGCGGUGAAAUGCAUAGA
rnacentral:rRNA from 1 species